UACGGAGGGUGCGAGCGUUAAUCGGAAUAACUGGGCGUAAAGCGCACGCAGGCGGUCUGUCAAGUCGGAUGUGAAAUCCCCGGGCUCAACCCGGGAACUGCAUCUGAUACUGGCAAGCUUGAGUCUCGUAGAGGGGGGUAGAAUUCCAGGUGUAGCAGUGAAAUGCGUAGAGAUCUGGAGGAAUACCGAAGGCGAAGGCAGCCCCUUGGGAAGAUACUGACGCUCAUGUGCGAAAGCGUGGGGAGCAAACAGG
rnacentral:rRNA from 1 species